rnacentral:rRNA from 1 species
AGGACGAACGCUGGCGGCGUGCUUAACACAUGCAAGUCGAGCGGUGAUCCUCCUUCGGGAGGUGAUCAGCGGCGAACGGGUGAGUAACACGUGGGCAACCUGCCCCUCACACUGGGAUAACCUCGGGAAACCGGGCUAAUACCGGAUACGACCUCGAGCGGCAUCUCUUGAGGUGGAAAGCUCCGACGGUGAGGGAUGGGCCCGCGGCCUAUCAGCUUGUUGGUGGGGUAAUGGCCUACCAAGGCGACGACGGGUA